GGGGCUCCUGGGGGCUGUGGUUCUGGGGGGCGGGAGGGAGCAUGGGGACCUUGGAAUGCUCCCUGUGUUGGACCUGUACCCAGUUGUAAGUACCCAGGGGUCAGUUAGGACCGGUGGCCACUCCAGGCCCGUCCCUUAGGAGCCUGUGUCCCUUCAGCUGUGUGCUCACCGAGCGUCCUUGCUUUGCUGUGUUAUCUUCCCAUCGCACAGGCCUGUUGCCUGAAUGUGGCCCAUGUGCUGUGUUUUUCCUCCUCUGCUAAAGUGACCUGUGGCUCUGUCCCCGUGAAUCCCUCAGGGACUCUUCCUUCUGGUGCCCUUUUCCUUGAAUUCCAGUCCCUGGUUAAAUGUUUGAGAGGCCCUGCUGACUUCCUAGUUUCUUGUGGCCCCGAACUCGUCUUACACACGGGGUGUGCCAGGUGCCCCGGCCCUCGACUCUGCCCGUGUCCACAUCCACCUGAUCCAGGGAAAGGGUCCUGUGUGCCUCUGUCGGAAGAGAGGAGACUUCCCCAGGCUCCUUGACAUUGUUCCUUCCAGGACGAGAGCAGCACUGGGAUCUGAGGGUCCCCACCAUCCUGACACUCUGGCUCCGGGUCUUGGAGCAGAUGAGGAAUUGUCAUCUCUGAGCAAGACAAACGUGUGUCCUCUGAUUUCUGUGUUGUCCGCGUGAAUACUUCAUGUCUCAGUCUGUACAGUACAGGUCUGCUCAGAUCUGUCUCCCCUUAAAUAACCCAGUAACGUGGGCGUGUGUAAGUCUCUGUCAGCUGUUGUCAUCCCCCUGCCUUCAAGUUCCAGCCUUUUGUCACUGUGUGCAUCUCAUGGGACUAGCUUGCAUGCUGUCACUUCCCACAUGGGUGUGACUCAGGCCCUGGGAAUAGAGGGUAGCUCCCUGCUUGUCCCCCUUCACCCCUCACACACGCGGUGAGGAAUGAGCUGUGCAGCGAUCGGGUGUGUGGUGUGUAUCAGGCCUGUGUGGUCUUUGAGGACGUGGCUGUGAACUUCACCCCGGAAGAGUGGGCUUUGCUGGAUCGAGGUCAGAGGAAGGUCUACAGAGAUGUGAUGCUGGAGACGUGCAGGCACCUGGCCGCCGUGGGUUGUCAAAGUCAAGGUAAAACAAAUACAUCAAGGCCUCAGUGGAACAUUUUGCCCAAUGAGCCACUGAGGGAAGGCAAAACAGGAAUAUUUACAAGAAGAGAUUCCUGUUUUUGAAGAAAACCAGACAUUUCGUAGCAGAGGAGAUUACCUGCAAACCCAGGACAGGCAUUCGAGAAGUCCUUUGGCGGAGCGUGGCUGUGAACGUGCUGCAGGGGAUCAAGGUGGGGAAACCCUGGACCCGGUUACAAGUGUCGCUGUGCGUGGGGGCUGUCCCACUGGAGGCAGACCCUGAGUGCACUGAGUGUAGAGAAGCCGUCGCAGACGGUUCCUUCCUAGAGGAGCCACAAAGGUCUCCCCCAGGACUCCCGCCGACUCCCGGGGAGGCAUGCGGGCCGGCCUGCAGCUCGGUCCCGAGCCUCAGCCCGCACGGGGACCCAGACCUUGGAGAGACGCCCCGUGAAGGUCAGGAUGCCCGGAGAGCAUCUGAGACAUGGAAGAGACUCCGUAGUAAAAAAUGUCUAAAGUGCAAGAAAUGUGGAAAAGCUUUCACUCGCACGUCUUCCUUUCAGCGUCACAUGCGAGGUGCCUGUGGGCAGAGAGCCCACGUGUGUGGUGCGUGUGGGAAAGCCCUCGGGCAUGAACCAGGCCUCGGAAACAUGAGAGAACACAUUCUGGGGAGAAGCCCUGCGGACGGCGGCGCUGUGGGAGCGCCUUCAGGCAUCACGGAGACCGGCGAUCACACGCGCGGACCCACACGGGGGGCGUCGCUGAGUCUGUCAGCCCAGUGGGAACGCCUUCACGUCUUCUGCAAACCUUCGCGUACACAUGGUUCACACACUAGAAAGCAGCCCUGCGAAUGUCAGCGCUGUGGGAAGGCCCGCACGUGUCCAUCACACCUGGAAACGCGCAGGCCCAUGGUGGGAAGAGACGCCAUGAUUGUAAGGAGUGUGGACAGCCUUCGCACAAGUGUGAGCAUUUCCAACGGCACUCGACCAUGCACAGUGUGGUGACAUCCUGUGAAUAAGCAGUGAGGCCUCCUGGGAUCACACCUGCAGGUGCAUGUGAGCACACACACUGGGAAACCGCGUACAUGUCUGCUCUGUGGGGAAGCCUUCGGCUGGCCUUCUCUUCGAGGACACAUGUGAAAGCACGAACCUAAACACCAUGGAAAAGCCUUCAGGUACCCAGGAAUCCGUGAGCACAGACACCCUGUCGGAAGGCACUUAUUCUCCCUUCAAGUCUUACUGAGAAUGUGAGCCAGUGCACUGGAGACAGUCCUGAAUAAACAAAAAUGGGGUGAAACAUCA